UACGUAGGGGGCAAGCGUUGUCCGGAAUCAUUGGGCGUAAAGAGCUCGUAGGCGGUUCGGCAAGUCGGAUGUGAAAUCUCCACGCUUAACGUGGAGGGGCCAUUCGAAACUGCUGUGACUCGAGUCCGGUAGGGGAGUGUGGAAUUCCCGGUGUAGCGGUGAAAUGCGUAGAUAUCUGGAGGAACACCGGUGGCGAAGGCGGCAUCCUGGACCAAUUCUGACGCUGAGGAGCGAAAGCCAGGGGAGCAAACGGG
rnacentral:rRNA from 1 species